rnacentral:lncRNA from 1 species
UAAGCCUUUUUCAACUGAUUUUUAUAGUUCGUUCUUAUGUUGUACUGUUAUACCACUGUCACAGGUUAGGGGAGGGUUGGGAUCCCGCUAACAUGUUUAACCCCGCCACAUUAUUUAUGUAUGCGCCUGUCCCAAGUCAGGAGCCUGUAAUUCAGUGGUUGUCGUUUGUUUAUGUGUUACAUAUUUGUUUUUCGUUCAUUUCUUUUUACAUAAAUAGGGCCGUUAGUUUUCUCGUUUGAAUUGUU